rnacentral:lncRNA from 1 species
AUGGUCAUUGCUUUGAUAGCGGGGGCUGGAGGAGCUCACCUCUUGUCACAGCCAGGGAAUUUAUGGGUUACCUGGGCAAAUAAGGCAGGCCAAAAGGACUUUUGCCUUAGCUUGCAAUCGGCAACCUCGCCCUUUCGCACCUGCCUAGUAGGUAUCCCGCAAUAUACGUUAGAAGCCUUUGCGGGAUACACCACGAACCAUUCCAUUUGCCGUAACAACGCCGACUUAGCGAACCAAACGGCAUGUUUGAUAAAGUCUUUGAAUGUGUCUCUUCCAUGGGAUCCGCAGGAAUUAGAUAUCUUGGGGUCGCAAAAGGUACGAAAUGGGUCACACAAUGGCACGCGUACCUGUAUUACCUUCGGGUCAGUAUGCUGGCAGGAAGGUGGCUUUACUGUCUGCGAUGUGUUUGACGGGGUGUUCAACGGCUCCGAUGGAUUGGAAGGACAAUUGCAGGCUUUAAUUGCCCGGUGGGCAGGAACAGAUCCACGGCUGAAGCCGUACAAUGAGACCUCUUGGACUGUAGUUAGCCCUACAAACAUAGACGCUUUCUCUAUCCGGUCGGGUUAUUGUGGAUAUACCAAAAAUGAAACGCGGGCCUUCAGAGGGUCCAAUAUAACCUGCUUGUCAAAGGGUGGGAUCCCUUUGAGCAAUGGACUCGGACCCGGACAUAAUUGUACGGCAAUUUGGGACUUUUAUGGGUAUGGGUACUCUUUCAAAAAAGAUGCCAAGGAGACGUUAUGGAAUAACGAAACGGCCAAGGCAUUGCCCCCUGGAAUCUUCCUGAUUUGUGGAGAUAGGGCCUGGCAGGGCAUCCCGCGCAAUGCCUUAGGGGGACCUUGUUACCUAGGGGAGUUGACGUUACUGUCUCCGAAUUUCAUGACAUGGAUGCAAUACGGUCCGAACGUGACGGGCCAUCACUUUAGACGGUCGAGCCCUGUUCCGGAGAGCUGUAAUGACGAGGUAGAGUUGUGGAGUGCCACAGCACGGAUAUUCGCAUCCUUUUUCGCCCCUGGGGUUGCCGCAGCACAUAGCCUGGCUCAGAUUGAGCGCCUAGCGUGUUGGUCGGUUAAGCAAGCGAAUUUAACGACAUUAGUACUGAAUGCAAUGUUAGAGGAUACGAACAGCAUUCGACAUGCGGUGCUGCAAAAUAGAGCAGCCAUCGAUUUCUUGCUCCUGGCACAGGGGCAUGGGUGUGAAAACCUAGAAGGAAUGUGUUGCUUCAGUCUUAGCGACCACAGUGUAUCCAUCCAUAAAGCGCUGAAAGCCCUGCGAGACCACUCGGAUAAGAUCCGAGUAGAGGACGAUCCCAUCGGGGACUGGCUGAAAGGCGUGUCUGGCAGCUAG